GCCCGCACUCACCGGCAGCGCAGCGGGCCGGGCCGGGUGCAGGACCGUGGGUGCUGGGUGUGCAGGAAGCUGGCCGGCCAGACACUAGGCCGACAAACCGCACAAAGCAGAUCCGCGUCGCGUCUUCUCCAGCCACGAGCGGAGCCCGCUGUGGAUCUAGAGAACGAGGCCGUGAGGGCGGGCCUACCGCAGCACUCACGUGUGCAUCCUGGUCUUGUGAACUACAUGUAGAACAGGGACAUGAGCGAGGAGAACUUCUCGCUGCCCUAAAAACACAGCAGAGCUGGCACAGCCAGCUGCUGGCACAAGGCAGUGUCUGGGACACCAGAGUACUAGGAAAUGCAGGCCCCAUGCUGCCAGCCACUCCGAUGCUUCCUCAGAAGUCUGGUAUCUGGAGGUUUAGGAGGGCGGCUCUCCGGAAACAGGAAGUGCCCUUCGGGGUUCUCAUUUGUAAAGGCACAAGUUGUUUAAGAUAAAACUCCAAGCGCCCCCGCCCACCGUCUACCUAGAAGACAAGAGACCUUGCAGGUCAAUGCGUUUUAAGUACGGAAACCAAGGAGGGUCACACAGGCAGGAAGUGACCGCCACGGGGCUGGAACCUACGUCUUUGAUUCCAGAAACCCAGCUCCGAAGCACCAGGUUAGAGCA